UGGGGAAUAUUGCACAAUGGGCGCAAGCCUGAUGCAGCAACGCCGCGUGAGGGACGACGGCCUUCGGGUUGUAAACCUCUUUUAGUAGGGAAGAAGCGAAAGUGACGGUACCUGCAGAAAAAGCACCGGCUAACUACGUGCCAGCAGCCGCGGUAAUACGUAGGGUGCAAGCGUUAUCCGGAAUUAUUGGGCGUAAAGAGCUCGUAGGCGGUUUGUCGCGUCUGCUGUGAAAACUGGAGGCUCAACCUCCAGCCUGCAGUGGGUACGGGCAGACUAGAGUGCGGUAGGGGAGAUUGGAAUUCCUGGUGUAGCGGUGGAAUGCGCAGAUAUCAGGAGGAACACCGAUGGCGAAGGCAGAUCUCUGGGCCGUAACUGACGCUGAGGAGCGAAAGCAUGGGGAGCGAACAGG
rnacentral:rRNA from 1 species